AGCAGCCGCGGUAAUUCCAGCUCCAAUAGCGUAUAUUAAAGUUGCUGCAGUUAAAAAGCUCGUAGUUGAAUUUCGGGACCAUCAUGUUGGUCGUGCCUCGGUACGUACUGGCAUUGUUGGUUUCUCCCUUCUGACGAACCAUGAUGUCAUUUAUUUGGUGUCGUGGGAAAUCAGGACUGUUACUUUGAAAAAAUUAGAGUGUUUAAAGCAGGCUCACGCUUGAAUACAUUAGCAUGGAAUAAUGAAAUAGGACGUUUGAUUCUAUUUUGUUGGUUUCUAGGAUCGACGUAAUGAUUAAUAGGGAUAGUUGGGGGCAUUAGUAUUCAAUUGUCAGAGGUGAAAUUCUUGGAUUUAUUGAAGACUAACUACUGCGAAAGCAUUUGCCAAGGAUGUUUUCAUUAAUCAAGAACGAAAGUUAGGGGAUCGAAGACGAUCAGAUACCGUCGUAGUCUUAACCAUAAACUAUGCCGACUA
rnacentral:misc_RNA from 1 species